GGGGAUGCCUCGGGUGCAAGAAGGCGAAGAAGGUCGUGGCACGCAACGAUACGCCUCAGGGAGCCGCGUCGCAGGCGUCGAUCUGAGGAUCACCGAAUGGGGCAACCCCUCGGCCGACCGGCCGAGACGGCAUCUCAACGGAGAUGACCGGGCAGAAUGCGGGAACUGAAACAUCUCAGUACCGCAAUCGGAAAAGCAAACGCGAACUCCGUAGUAGCGGCGAGCGAACCGGAGCCUUGUCUAAACGGAUCGGCCUUGACCGGGCUGGAGGCCCUGUCGAUCCGGGUUGCAGGCCAUGUUGGGGGCGGCCUCCAGGUCCCGCCCGCGGCCCGUCCGGGCCGCCGGAUUGAAGCUGUUGGAAUGCAGCGCCCAAGUGGGUGAAAGCCCCGUCGGUCCGGCCCCGGAAGGCUGUGCAGCAUGCGCCUAAGUACCACCGGGCUCGUGAAACCCGGUGGGAAGCAGGGUGGCCCACCACCCAAGACUGCCGACUUCUUGACACCGAUAGUGGAGAGUACCGUGAGGGAACGGUGAAAAGCCCCCCGGGAGGGGAGUGAAAGAGACCCUGAAACCGUGUGCUGACAACCCGUCAGAGUCCCUUUGGGGGAUGAUGGCGUGCCUAUUGAAGAAUGAACCGGCGAGUGACCGGUCCCCGCAAGGUUAACCCCCGGGAGGGGGGCAGCCGGAGCGCAAGCGAGUCCGUGCAGGGCGUGAGUGAGGAUCGGUCGACCCGAAACCGUGUGAUCUAGCCGGCGCCAGGCUGAAGUCCCCUUAACCCGGGAUGGAGGGCCGAACCCGUGUCCGUUGAAAAGGGCUGGGAUGAGCGGCGGUUAGGGGUGAAAUGCCAAUCGAACACGGAGAUAGCUGGUUCUCCCCGAAAUCGCUUGAGGGCGAGCCUCCAAGAUCGCGUCCAUCGGGGUAGCGCUCUGUGAAUGGAAGGGGUCCCGCCGGGAUUACUGCCUGUUCGCAAACGACAAAGUCGAUGGACCGCUUGUGGGAGUCAGACGCUGGGGGAUAAGCUCCAGGGUCAAAAGGGCAACAGCCCAGAUCGUCCGUUAAGGUCCCUAAAUCACCGCUGAGUGGUAAAGGACGUCGAUGGGCCCAGACAGCCAGGAGGUUGGCUUAGAAGCAGCCAUCCUUGAAAGAGUGCGUAAUAGCUCACUGGUCGCAGUCCGCCGGCGCCGAUAAUGUUCGGGGCUAAGUGGUGUACCGAAACGGCGACUGUCUCGGCCGUCCGGCCGAGAUGGGGUAGGGGAGCGUCCCGUGGGGGGUGAAGGUCCGCUGGAAGGCGGGGUGGACCCCACGGGAGUGCGAAUGCCGGUAUGAGUAGCGAAAAGGGAUGUGCGAAUCAUCCCCGCCGAAAGCCGCCGGGUUCCGGAGCCAGGAUCGUCCGCUCCGGGUUAGUCGGACCUAAGGCGAGGCCGUCAAGGCGUAGUCGAUGGAGACACGGUGGAGAUUCCGUGACCUCCAUCCGUUGGCGAAGCCUGCGGGACAGUCCCGCGUCGAGAAGCGCCCCGUUGGUUGUGGGCGUGGCCUUCGGGCCCGACGGUCCCCCGCGAGGGGGGCCGAUAGUCGCCGGCGUGGGGCUCCAGAAAAGCGCAGGGGGAGACGGAUGGAGUCCGUACCCGAAACCGACACAGGUAGGCGAGGCGAGAAGCCUCAGGCGCGCGAGUGACCUCUCGUUAAGGAACUCGGCAAAAUGCCCCCGUACCUUCGGAAGAAGGGGGCCCGGCCCGGUCUCGGGCCGGGGACACACAAGAGACCCAAGCGACUGUUUACCAAAAACACAGGUCCCUGCGAAGUCGUAAGACGCCGUAUAGGGGCUGACGCCUGCCCGGUGCUGGAAGGUGAAGGAGCGGGGUUCACGCCCCAACCCGAAGCCCCAGUCAACGGCGGCCGUAACUAUAACGGUCCUAAGGUAGCGAAAUUCCUUGUCGGGUAAGUUCCGACCCGCACGAAAGGCGUAACGACUUGGGUACUGUCUCAACGAGAGACUCGGUGAAAUUGCAAGCCCUGUGAAGAUGCAGGGUACUGACGACUGGACAGAAAGACCCCGUGGAGCUUGACUGCAGCCUGCUAUGGGUCGUUCGGGCCGCGUGUACAGGAUAGGUGGGAGGCGGAGAA
rnacentral:rRNA from 1 species